AUAUUACAGGCUUAAUAUUAUAAUUUCAAUGUCAUCAAAAUAUUACAAUUUCAUGUGUUGUUCGAUAGCAGAAACUGAAACUUAUAACAAUUUAGCAUCCUGAAACUUCAUUCUCCAACUUGUAACCAAGCUCAACACGCUUGGUCGUGUAUAUUGAGAAUGUGAUCAGCGAAAUCAGUUGUUAGGCCAUGUGUGAUCAACUGCCCCGAAGCCGAAAACGAGAAAUCUUUACAAUAUCACUUGUUUUACUUAUUGUUCCAAGGAUCCAAAGCUAUGAGGUGGCCACACCCUCAUAAACACUUUCCCUUGAAUAAGACCAUAUGGAACAGGCCCAAAAUGCCUUGAAUCACUGGAAGCAUACAUAUUAUCUCCCUGAAUCCAAACAUGCCCCUUUGGGACCACGAUGAUGUUGCAGCUGUCAUUACUAGAGGGGUCCAGCAAGAAAGUGAUUCUAUCACCCUCCAUUCCCACGAUGCGUUUGGUGACGAUUUUUCUAGGAUCAACAGGGGAUCGAACCAGCACCACAUCACCAGGUCCCAGCUUCCCCAAACGGUGUGAAAUGUGUUCCACCAAUAACACAUCGCCGGAAAUAUUGAGCGUUGGAAGCAUACUAGGGCCGUACACGAGAGUGGAAGAGCAUAGGUAGUUGUUGGUGACGUGAAGCAAGCAAAGGAACUUGGCUACUAUCGAUGUUUGAGUGAAUGCUUGUUUGGCUAUGCUUCGCCAUUGCCAAAUAUACUUCGCCGCUCUCAUCUCUCCCCUUCUCUGUGAAUUUGGCGGAAGUGAAAAUGGCCUGCCCUUUGAGCGAGCUCGCUUUUUUUUUUUUUUUU
rnacentral:misc_RNA from 1 species